rnacentral:rRNA from 1 species
CGCACGGGUGAGUAACACGUAUCCAACCUGCCGUCUACUCUUGGACAGCCUUCUGAAAGGAAGAUUAAUACAAGAUGGCAUCAUGAGUCCGCAUGUUCACAUGAUUAAAGGUAUUCCGGUAGACGAUGGGGAUGCGUUCCAUUAGAUAGUAGGCGGGGUAACGGCCCACCUAGUCUUCGAUGGAUAGGGUUCUGAGAGGAAGGUCCCCCACAUUGGAACUGAGACACGGUCCAA